CCUACGGGAGGCAGCAGUGGGGAAUGUUGCGCAAUGAGCGGAAGAGUGACGCAGCGACGCCGCGUGAAUGACGAAGGCCUUCGGGUUGUAAAGUUCUGUCGACAGGGAAGAAAAUGCCUAUAAGUAAAUGUGUAUGUAUUGACGGUACCUGUAUAAGCAGCGCCGGCUAACUCCGUGCCAGCAGCCGCGGUAAUACGGAGGGGGCGAGCGUUGUUCGGAGUGACUGGGCGUAAAGAGCACGUAGGCGGUUUUGUAAGUCAUGAGUCAAAGACUAGAGCCCAACUUUAGUAAGGCUAGUGAUACUAUAAUACUAGAGUAUGAGAGAGGAUUGCGGAAUUCCUGGUGUAGCGGUGAAAUGCGUAGAUAUCAGGAGGAAUACCGUUGGCGAAGGCGGCAAUCUGGCUGGAAACUGACGCUGAGGUGCGAAAGCGUGGGUAGCAAACAGGAUUAGAUACCCCAGUAGUC
rnacentral:rRNA from 1 species